rnacentral:rRNA from 1 species
UACGGAAGGUGCAAGCGUUGUUCGGAAUUAUUGGGCGUAAAGGGCGCGUAGGUGGUUCCAUAUGUCCGCCGUGAAAGCGCACGGCUCAACCGUGUUAGGUCGGUGGAAACUGUGGGACUUGAGGCUGGGAGGGGCUGGUGGAAUUCCCCGUGUAGCGGUGAAAUGCGUAGAGAUGGGGGAGAACACUCGUGGCGAAGGCGGCUAGCUGGACCAGUCCUGACACUGAGGCGCGACAGCGUGGGGAGCAAACAGG